rnacentral:rRNA from 1 species
AUGAGGAGGCGCAAAUUAAACAUCAGCCGUGAUGAAGUCCAUUCAGCAUUUGGGCAUGUCAGACGGCGGCGGGAGCAGCUUCUGGCUCGGCUUGCUGCCGUCCUGCACCUGCCACGCCAUUCUCAGACCCCACGUCGUGUGCACCUCCAAAUGACAAUGCAUGAACCAUACACCUGCACAUGCAUACACAACAACAGCAGCGGCACACAUGAAUAUCUCACAAAUUUAUUGGUUCUUAGGGCAUUGUAUAGAAUCGUGUUUACCUGGGUUGUCAGCAAGGAAGCGAAUGGCCACCCACCCGCCCGCCGGCACGCCGACGGUGUUCCGCUCGACGGGGUCGACGAGGUUGAACUUGUCCGGGUCGUUCACGGCGUCGUAGUUGCCGAACCCUUGCCCGACCACGAAGAAGUUGAAGCCGUGGAGGUGAAGCGGGUGGCUCUCGAUGCCGAGGAUGCUCGUGUCCUGCAUCACCAGCUCCACCGACGUGUUGAACGACAGCGCGAGGAGCUUGGUCCCGGUGGCCACGUGCGUGUUGUUCGGCGGCGUCCCCGUGUAGUUGAACGGCGACAGGGGCAUGGCCGGGAAGUUGGCCGCGUAGACGCCGCUGGUGAGGCCGGUGAAGUGCGACUGCAGCAGCGCCAUGGACGGGAGCACGAGGGAGACGUUGUUGACGGCCGCCGCGAACUGCGUGCCGUUGGGCCCCUGGCAAGUCAUGUUCUUGGGGCAUGGCAGUGUGCCCAGCCCAAUCGUGAAGAAGAACCGCCUGUCCACCGACUGCGGCACGGCCGCCGGGUACUGCUUUGUGGCGAGGCUGCGGAGCUUGGUCGUGAAGUUGGUGACGAAGUUGGUGUCGUUGAAGUACGGCAGCAUCGGCUUGAAGAUCGGCAAGGCCUUGUCGAAGCUCGACGCGGAGGGUGA